GGGUCAGUAGGUUGGUCGUGCCACCGGUACGUACUGGUCUCACUGAUUCCUCCUUCCUGAAGAACCGUAAUGCCAUUAAUUUGGUGUUGCGGGGAAACAGGACUGUUACUUUGAAAAAAUUAGAGUGUUUAGAGUAAGCUAACGCUUGAAUACAUUAGCAUGGAAUAAUGAAAUAGGACGAUCGAUCCUAUUUUGUUGGUUUCUAGGAUUGACGUA
rnacentral:rRNA from 1 species